rnacentral:lncRNA from 1 species
AUAAUAAUAUAAAUAAUUUAUUUUCAAUAUAUAAUUAUAUAUUAGUAAUGCCUAAAUUUUACCCGGCCUUUAAUAAACAAAAAUAAUAAAAAGUCCAGUUCUUUUUUACAGAGUCAAAUCCAAAACAAAGCAGUUGGCCUAGAAUACAUGGCCCAAAUUGAAAUAAAACAAAGGCCCAAAUUUGGUGGCCCAAAACAGUUGCAAAAACCCUAGGGUUUCUAAAAACCACCAGCGCUGCAGCCGAUCUCUUCGCACAAACCAGAUCUUCACGCGCGCGCCUUCACCUGCAUGACAAGAAAAGAAACAAAACAGUAUAUGGAAAGAAAAAUCAAAAGAUCGAGAAUCAAAUCGAUGUAAAUAGGUUUACUUUCUAUGUUAUUGUUAUGGCUAUAAAAAGCCAUUAAGAAUAUUGUAACAGGGGGAAAAUGAAAAAAAAACCCGAAAGACAGAGUAUUUUGAAAGGUAGAUUUUAAUUUUUCUUUUCUUUCGCUUUUCUUUGUUUUUUUUUUUCGCUUCUUUGUUUAUUAAGGUACUAAAACAGAAUAGCAUGAGAGGUUUAAGGGUAGAAAACGAGGGGGUUUACCUAAUCUUCGUUCGCUCCAUUGCAAUCGAAGUUGGGAGAUCGUUCGAGGGUCUCUGAGCAGCCCUUUCUUUGGGUGGCGCAAACCUGGAAUGGGAAAGGGGGCAGAAGUUUAGUUUGCUUCUGGUUUUUUAGG